CGCCUUGCCAGCCCGCUCAGAAACUUAAAGGAAUUGACGGGGCCCGCACAAGCGGUGGAGCAUGUGGUUUAAUUCGAUGCAACGCGAAGAACCUUAACUGGUCUUGACAUCCCGGAGACCCUUAGGAAACUAGGGGGUGCUUCCAUCUGGAAGAAUCUGGAGACAGGUGCUGCAUGGCUGUCGUCAGCUCGUGUCGUGAGAUGUUGGGUUAAGUCCCGCAACGAGCGCAACCCUUGCCUUUAGUUGCCAGCAGUUCGGCUGGGCACUCUAAAGGGACUGCCGGUGUUAAACCGGAGGAAGGUGGGGAUGACGUCAAGUCCUCAUGGCCUUUAUGACCAGGGCUACACACGUACUACAAUGGCCGAUACAAAGGGCAGCGACACUGCGAGGUGAAGCCAAUCCCGUAAAAUCGGUCUCAGUCCGGAUUGGAGUCUGCAACUCGACUCCAUGAAGUUGGAAUCGCUAGUAAUCGUGGAUCAGCAUGCCACGGUGAAUACGUUCCCGGGCCUU
rnacentral:rRNA from 1 species